CUCCUCAGUUCUUCAUAUUUCUCUCAAAUUACCUUUCAACAAUAUGUUCAUAUCUCAGCCAAUAAAGCGAUGGUUGAUCCACAUGCAAAUAAAAAGGUAAGGAAAAAAAUUUAAAUGGGUUUUAAAAAUUCAGACUGCCAAAAAUAGAUGAAAUAGCUCAGAAGAGACAUAAUACUUAUGAAAACUGAGAAAGUGAUCUUUUUAUUUUCAACCAAGAUAAUUCAAUUCAUAAAUUGUUGCUGUAUUAGCAACUUGGAACUUGAAAUUGGCACCAGGAAAAUUAAAAGGAAAAAAAAUCAGGUAUACUUCUAUCCUUGAAAUGUCAUUUAUAUUUCUUUCUGCAAGUUGAUGCGGACAUUGCUGAAUAUUUUCCCAACAGCUUCAAAGAGUGGGUCACAGACGGUGUGGACGUAGAUGGAAUAGACACGGCUGAUGCACUGAAUCUCAAUCAGGAAGCUCUUAAUGCAUGGUACAACUGCCCAGAUGUGCAGGAAAGAGAGAAUGGCGAAGUAAAUGCCCCAGAUGAGUGCCAUCGGGAUGCCAAAGAGGGCAGACAGCAAGCGGUAAAACCAGUAUUUCGUCACAGUGAAGGUGGUGAAGCUGGCCUUCCAAAUGCCGUCAAAACUGUGUGUCCCUUCUGGUUCUGCAAUCACAUCUUCAAAGUCAAUCUAAAAGGAAGAAGUGACACAACAUGAGCACAGAAUAGAAGAAAAGAGAAAAAAAACCCACUAUUCAGUAUCCAUAGACAUAUACUGUAUUAGCAUUUAUGAGUUCGUUCUUUGUGAGAUGCUUAAAGGCAACCAGCAGCAUCAGCAUCACUUGGAACUUGGGAACACAGAUUUUUUUCAUUUUUAUUUUUUUGAGACAGGGUCUUGCUCUGUCACCCAGGCUGGAGUGCAGUGGCAUGAUCAUGGCUCACUGCAGCUUCGACUUCCCAGGCUCAAGCAAUCUGUCUGCCUCAGCCUCUUAAGUAGCUGGGACCACAGGUUCAUGCCACCACACUUGGCUAAUCCUUUUUUUUUUUUUUUUUAAGAGAUGGAGUCUCACGAUAUUGCCCAGGCUGGUCUUGAACGCCUGAGAUCAAGGAAUCCACCCACCUUGGCCUUCUGAGGAGUUGGUAUAAUAGGAUGAGCCAAUAAGCUGACCUGAAACACAGAUAUUUGGGUUCCCCUUGGACCUUAUUAUCUCUCAAGGGUGGAACCCAGGAUAUUUUUAAACAUGUUCUCUAGGUGUUUCUCUACCACACAAAAGGUUGAGAACUACAGCUCUAGAGAAAACCAAAUGGAUGUGAUUAAAUUUCUUGACUUAAAGUAAAACCCCCAAACAUGGAUAAGGAUACGAGGCACUCAGUACAAUGUAAGGAACAUGACAUAAUUUAACUGCCUUUGAAGACAACUACACAUGCAAUGUUAAGGGGCAGUUAGUUGAUAAUCGGUUAACAAUUCUUCAAAUGCCCAAUUAGCAUAAUUACUUCAGGAAAUUAGAUCAUGGUGUGCUGGGAGGCAUCAAGAAGGCUUCAUGAGGUGGGAGAUUUGAGCAGGGCUUGGGCAAUUGGCUGAUUUGGAGAGGAAGAACAAUGGGACGUUGGAAAUGUGUCAAAGCCCCAGGAACAAGCAAGGGUGUCAUAGUAAGUGUCUCAGGCAGAAUAGACCUGUGUCACCGAGGCUGGAAAGACAGGUUGAGGCCAGACUGAAUAUUAUUUUACAGACAGUGGGGUCUAUGGAAGAUGUGGGAGCAGGGGAGUGUAGCCACAAUCGAUGCAGUAGUUUAUCAAGAUGAGUUUGACAACCGUAUGCACACUGGGAGAAGGAGGAAAGAGACUCAAGGCAGGGAGACUGUUGCUGUCACUCAAGUUUGAAGGGCCAGGACUGGAAAGGUGGUCAUAAAAAAAAGAAAAGAAAAGAAGGUUCCAGAGAUGCUAAGGGAAGAAUCCACAGGACUUGGUUAGCUCAAGGGUGGGGAUGAAAGGAGCUGGAAUGCAAAUUUGGCCCCUUUCCCAAUAGCUCUCCCAGGUACAUGUUCACCCAAACAAUUAAUUACAGGAAGUUUUAUCCCUCUGUAAAGAUUUAUAUAAACUACACUGAAGCACAGGAUUAAAAACAGAAUUACCAACAGAAAGGUAGGACAGAGCCAGUGCAACUGCUUGGCAGUGACAGCUAUAGGAGGGGAUUUAAUGCAGUUUGAAAUCCCAACAAGUGGAUGACUGACAGCAGCGACUCAGGCAGGCUCAGGAUUAGGGAAUGAGGACUGCCAUGACUCCACGGAGCUACUCAGUGCCAAAGAGCCACCUUUGAUUCAACAAAAUAAAAUGUCUUCUGGAAAAAGCACAUGAUGCUUACCAAUUUUUAAAGUUUAUUUUGUAGAACAUUCUGUUUCUUGACUUAUUGUCCAAUGUUCUAAUAAUGUAAUGUGAAAAAAACGGCAUGGCCACAAUUAUGUAAGUGAGCUUAAGUAGAUGUAUUGUCACUCAUUUUUCUUCACCCAUUUGGAUCUAGACACAGGGUAAACAUUUAGUUGUGUGUUUUAAAAGGUGGCAAAUACAUGGCAAAUCAGGUCAAUACUUUUAUGAAGUUUCUGUGCAAAUUAUUUGUCUAUUAUGGGUUUGUGUUCUGACACUGCAUUCUUCCCAAAACUAUCAAAAAUAAGGGGCUCUGGUUUUCCUGCAUUCAACUGCAAGACACCUAAAGAAUUUUAUUUUUUAAAGAUGUCUUUGUUUUGUAAGAGGAUUUGAAGGCAGAAUUAAAAUACUACAGCAGGUGUUCUUAAUCUGGGGUCAAAAGAUGGGCAAUGGUCAUCCAUGACUGCCCUGAAAUGGACACACAUUUUGAGUGUAUAAUGGGAAAUGAUCCAUCACCUUUAUUAAAAAAUAGUCUAUUACCAAAGAAGGUUAGGAAGCAAUUUACCGGGAGCAGAGGAUUCCUACCUCUUUACAGAGCAGACCCGAAGCAGGUCUGCCUUGAGAUUCUUUUCCUAGGAGGGGAAGAGUUGUGAACAUUUGUUGACUAGUUGUGAUCAGACACUGUUCUCAUUUAACUGACAACAACUCUAUAAUAUAGUAUUCUCACUUUAUAGAAAAAAUGUGAGGUUCAGAAAUGCUAAUGAGUUGUCCAGGUAAAAGAGAGGUAGAUUUGAGGCUUAAAUCUGGUCUGAAAGUUAUCAACUUUCUUCAAUAUUGUACCACUUUACAAAAAUGGUUUUCAAAUUUUAUCUAAGGUGAGUAUGCUAUUUCAUAAUUAAAAGGCACGUUAAUAAAAAAGAGUUUGCCAAAUUUAACCCUCUGGUAACUGCAACAAUUCUCCCGGCAUGUUCUUUGAGGACAGUGUUACACCAUAUACACAAUUGGUCCUUAGUGAAGAUAUUUAAAAACAUGAGUGUGUAAGAUUUCUUAAUAAUAAUUCUAUUUUUCUAAGCAUAAAUUCAAAUUAUUUUUCAAUGAAUACAUAGGAGAUUCUUACACUUUCUUUUAAGUUGCUUACUAAAUUUCUGGAUGCCUGCAUUUUCAGUGAAACUGCAUUUUCAGAAACUGCUAGUGAGCAUGAUUUAUCCUCAAACGUCCAAGUGAAUUUAGAGCAGGUCUCCAGGGGUGGAAAGCAACAUGACAAAAAUAACAUGUUAUAUAAAUAUAUUCAGUUAGUUAUUGCUGCUUUAGUCUUUGAAAUUUAAGGCAGUUUUAAAGAAAACUAAAAGUACAGCCAAUUAGGUGCAACUGAAAAAGGAAGCAAGGCAGGUUAAAGAAACAAUAGAGGCAGAAAUAAAGCUUAGUUUCUUUCUACCUCCAUUUACACAGCAGUAAUUAGUUUUAGAGGAGUACAUGAGAUAAUUUAUUUAAAUUACUUAGCUUGGGUGCAGAGCAUAGCAAUAUGAUUAGUAAAUGCCCAAAAAAUAGUAGCAUUUAAAAAAUCUCUUGCUUUUGGUGACUAGGUCUUUCUCUCUCUCUCUCUCUCUUCCUUCCUUCCUUCCUUUUUCUUUCUCUCCUCUCCCUCCCUCCCUCCCUUCUUUCUUUCUUUCUCUUUCUUUCUUUCUUUCUUUCUUUCUUUCUUUCUUUCUUUCUUUCUUUCUUUCUUUCUUUCUCUCUCUCUCUCUCUCUCUCUCUCUUUCUUUCUUUCUUUCUUUCUUUCUUUCUUUCUUUUCUUUCCUCCUUCCUUCCUUCCUUCCUUCCUUCCUUUCUUUUUUUGGAGACAGGUUCUUGCUCUGUCAUCCAGGCUAGAGUGCAGCGGCAUGAUCACUGCCCACUGCAGCCUUGACCUCCUGGGCUCAAGCAAUCCUCCAACUUCAGCCCUCAGAAUAGCUGGGACUACAGCCAUGCAUCACUGGCUAAUUUUUUGCUUUUUGUAGAGAUGAGAGGGUCUCACUAUGUUGCCUAGGCUGAUGUUGAACGCCUGAGCUCAAGCAGUUCUCCUGCCUUGGCCUCCCAAAGUGUUGGGAUUACAGACGUGAGCUACUGCACCGGGCUGUGACUAGGUUUUUAAAUAGACAAUUGUAAUAAGAGGAACUAACAGCUGCAAAGCACAUAAGGGCUGGGAAUUUAAACCCCACCAGUGGCUCAAAAGAGCUAAUUUCUAUUUGUAAUAAUCUUCACCACAAACCACUGAAGUGCAUGUCAUUAUUCCCAUUUUACAGAUGAGAAUACUGCCGGGGGUUAAGAAAUUAUCCAAGGUCACAGAGAUGCUAAGUGACAAAACUAGAACUUGUCAUAUUUCAAGUCUGCGCAUUUUUGCCUUUGUAUUCCUGAGAUCACAAGCCUUUACAAUUGUCUUAUUUGCUUAGUUUUCACCCAGAUAGAUAUGCUUCCUAAAAUAUUCCCAGUUUGAUGAUUCAAAGAAUUACUCUUGUUAAUGUUUCCACUUUAAGUUAGGACACCUAGUAUCUAGGAUGUUUUGCAUCCUAGGUACUGGUACUAGUACAUUAUUGGUACUGAUUGCAUUUUUAUGGCUCUGAAUGGUAUGUUCUCACAAUCCUGGGCACCCAGCCAGGGACUCUUACUCUAAUUGACAGAUAUGGAAACUGUGGCCCAGAAUGAUUAAAAUGAGACAGAUAUUCUCAAGAUCCCAAGUGAAUCAAUGGAAAAGCUGCAAUUAGAACUCUAAUUUCCUGAUUCCCAGGUCUAUGUCCAGCCUUGUGCUUCAUACUUUUUCCCUAGGAAGUUACAUCAUUCUCCUCACAUACCUUCUCUGCCUACUCCAUUCAUAUCUCUAGGUCUCCUUUAAAUCUCUCAUUGCUUUCUAAGGCAUUGACUUGAAAGGUAUCUCUGUGUGAGUUUAUGAGAAAUGUCCUUUCCACGGUGUGAACACGGACAUUUUUGUACAUCUAUCUAUGGUGAAAAAAACAGGAAGGAAUAUUUUUUACAAAUCCAAGUAUAUUUUGACAUGUAUUCAGAAUGCACUGAAUCCAACAAAGCUCGGCUAAAUAAUUGGUCUUUGUAUUUAAGGGAGUUCAGAGAUCCACAUCAAUCAAAGCACAGCUGCUUCAGCAGAUUCAUAGAUAUUUAAAGCUAAAGGGAUUCUUAAAGCAAUAGAGUCACAUAUGAGAUAGAGAAAUUGAUGACCAAAGCUGUCAGAUGACUGGACCAAGUAUAUCUUCCCAUUUUAUGGCAGCACAGGAUUGCAAUUCAGGCUUAGGAACUCUCCUGGGCUCUUCCACUACUGCUUGCUGUCAUCACACAUCCUUGAUCAGUCUAGCUGCUACAUUCUGGAUACCUGCACCUGAAAUUAAACAUCCUCAGGCUAUCAAGAGGUCCCACAGGCCUAUUGUUGAGUGGAUGAUGAUGCCUCUUUCUCACAAUCUCUAAUGGGCUCAUUGUUCAUGUUUAGCAUCAGUUUGAUUUAUCUCUCAUUGAAACGAUCACUCCCCAGUCCCGUUUCCUAGGGGACUGACUGCACUUGCCCUUCUACAAGGGCUGGUCUUGCUUGGAGCAGCACUUUAUGUGCUCACUUAGAAUAUGAGCAGAACAAGAAUUAAAAAUGGGCUUAAAAACUCAAUGCCCAAGAGGUGUAGGUGCCAUUAGUUUCUUAGAGUGGGAUGCCUCAGAUGAGGUUGAGCUAUUCCUCCCACAACCAACUUUCUGUUCUGUAAUUUAUGGAACAACUUGGCCUUCUGGAGGGAAGUAUUAUGCAGACCUAAAGAAGAAAGGCAUAAAUGCACUUCAGUGAUAUUUUUGUGUGUCAACAGAUGCUUUAUAAGGAGUUAACAGUUUACAUUACUAGAUUUUUAUAAAUGACAUGAAAUACCUUUGUGCAGCAUUGGCUUAUGAUACUACAAUUUCAGAAACAUGAGUUAACACAAAUCAAGCAGCAGACGUCAAGAAAAGCAAUCUGUCCUGUUUGUUUUGAUAAUACUUGGCUGAUGUAGUAAAUCUCAGAAGAUUUCAUUCUGUUCAAUGUAUCUGAAGGCAAUAUUUGAAAAACAGUUUACAUGUGCACAGGAUUUUUAAAAUAUAGAAUCUUUUCUGGGUUUCAAAAUCUGGACAUUUUAUUUUGAAUAAGGAAUUUUCAAGAAGGAAACCUUAAGUACAUUUGGGAUUUCAUAAGUAAUGAUCUUACACAUUCUGUUUCUAUUGGAAAAUAUCUUUUUAGACUGUUAUUGGAAAUUGUGAUUCUACUGGAUAUAUAGAACACAUAAAAAACAACACAUAAGAAGUUUACAGAAGACUUGUUUGUUGCCUGCUCAAAAUUUACAGUCCCACUUCUCUGCCAACAGGAUCCUGAUGGAUUCGGGUAAUGGUAAUAAUCCUUUGAUUUCAGAGAUGAGUCACAGUUGGUUUAGACUUGCCAUGAUAAUGUUAGUCUUCUUGGUGAGUGAUUGGUUUAAGGCAGGCAUGUGACUCAGUUCUGGCCAAUGAGAUCUAAGUGAAAUCUGCUAGAGGGGACUUCCAGGGAAGCUUUGUCUUCCUUAUGAAAAGAGACAGAGGCAUAUGGCAUGACUCUUUGCCCUUUUCAUCUUGCUUAGAAUAUGAGGUGUUGCCUAUGUUGUGAUUGUGAGGUGACAUGCAUGAUUAGAAGGCCAAGGAAAUAGAAGAGAUGCUGCUUUUGCCAUUAUCAAGCUACUGAAGCAAUGCCAGCAGCUGCCCACCCCUAGACUUUUGCUUAUGUGACUUAGAUAUACCUUUAUUUUAAAGCCACAGCUGUUUAGGUUUUUAGUUACCUGUAGCAGAAAGCAUUCUUAAAACACUCUUUCCUGUUGGCUUGCAUAGUAGUUGUACAUAUCUCCUCUUUUAGAAACAUGAGCUUAAUUUCUGACCUCAACAUAUCUUUUCAACACUACUGGUCUCUAUUACCACAAUACACUACCUAAAUUGUAUCAGAAAAUGUUUGCUUUACAUUGAUACAAGUUUUAGCAAAGCACAAAUGGGAUGGCACAUCGACUAAGACUGAAACAAAUUAAUAUAUUCUUUUCAUCUGGAAAAAUCACACUUAGAUGCGAUAGACAGCAUCUAAGAUGGCUUUCAAUGACCCUGUCUGCUGGUGUUCAUUCCCUUGUGUAAUGCCAUCCCUCUAAUUGUGGGCUGGACUUAGUGAUUUGCUUCUAAAUAAUAAAACAUGGCAAAAGUGAUGGGUUAACACUUCUGAGAUGAGGUUACAAAAGACUGGGACAUUCACCUUGCUUGCCUUUCUUGUUCUCUCACUCGCUUGCUCUACUGGAAACCAGCUGCCAUGUUGUGAGUUGCCCUGUGGAGAGGCCCAUGUGGAAAGGAACUGAGAGAGGGCUCUGGCUAAAACCACUGAGACACGGAGGCCCUCAGUCUGACAGCCUAAGAGGAACUGAAUCCCGCCAUCGGCCAUGUGAGUGAGCUUAGACAUGGAUCUUUCCCCAGCUCAGCCUUGAAAGGAUCCCAGCCUGAGACCUGGAUUGCAGCCCCCGAGAGACCCUGAGCAGAACCAUUAAAUUAAAUCACUUUGAUUCCUAACACACAGAAACUGUGGAGGAUCAAUGUUUGUUGUUCUAAGCGACUCAAUUUUGGGGGUGAUUUGUUAUGCAGCUGGACAAUAUAAUUCCAAAACAAACCACUUCUGAUGAUGAUUUCUUAUUUUCUACUUCCUUGCCCUUUUCUAUUAGACAAUUCAGUUUUCAUGUUUACAGAAAAAUGUAUGCAAUGAAUGUCUAUCAGAUGCCCUGGGAUUUGGUCUUGGGACAAAGUCCAGAAAUAGAUGAGAAGGAAAUAUAGCAUUUACAACUUUCUAGAAUUCAUACCAAACAGAAUAUUAGAAAAAAUUUAGGCUAUAGAUAGUGUUUCGGUUGAAAUAUCAGCUCAUAUACCUGAAUUGGCUUGGAUUUAUACCCAGGUAUGCACCAAGGACCAGCUCCAUCUGGAAAACUGAUCACCAAACUUCAACUCUGGAAUAUAAUGCUCCAUUCAGCACUAGCACAGGGUUCUCAUUUCUCAGGGGUUCUCAGCAAAAGGAUCACCUGGUGAAGGUGCUUGUUAAAAUGCAGAUUCUCCGGCCCCAUUUCAGAAUCAGAUCAGACUCUUUGGGGUGGGGCCUGGGGAUCUGUAUUUUUACCAGGAUUGCCCUUUGUCUCGUGCAAAAGACUAGAGUGUGCCAUGUUCCCUUGGAUUUAAUUACAGCUCCUUUUUGCAUAUGCCAUUCUUUCUCCUCCACUCCUGACAGCCCUAGUUUGUUCCCUGCUCCUUUCUGGGAGCUCCUCAUGUGCUGGAUGGCAUCUGGACACUGGUGGAUAAAUGAGUGGAGCUACUUUUUGAGAGGCUUUUGCUAAUUUAAGCCCAUAAGUAUGUAUUACUGGUUAAGGAUAAAUGAGCAUUAUUUACUAUGAAAACACACAAAUGGACAAUAGAAAUGUUGAUUUAUUGUCAUUAUUCUGAACCCUAUGUAAACGCUUUUUUUAAAAAAAGAUUAAAUACAUACUUGUAAAAUCCUAAUGUACGUGUCAAACCCAGUUAUACAGAGUUUAGACCAAUUUCAAACUCCCUUCUUUGUUCCCACACAUAUUUUUAACACGUUGAGCUUCCUUUGAAGUCAGUGGAAUAAAUGUUGUGUGUGAGUGUGUGGGUGCAGAGGAGGUUGAGAAAUAGCACAAUUAAAUGUUACCAGAACAUAGGAACUUUGCUCUAAUUGCCCAUGUGUUUUCUCAGGGGCAAUCUUUACUGGGCCAAACUGACACCUCUGGGGAAAAGGCUGCAGUGCUCUUGCAGCCCCUGCUGAAAACAGGAGGCCUGGAUUGUACUGUAGAUGCCUGUGUUGACGGGGGUUCCCAGGAAUAUCCACCUAGACCCCUGGGAAAAAUGUAAACCUCUGGUAGGAGUAUUGACUCUUAUUCUUGGGCUUCGACGUUGGUUCCCUUGGGGUGACAGAUACUAAGUAACCUCCCCUGGCGGAAGCAAGGGUUUCCAGGGUUUCAAGAUGGAAGAGGGCAAAAAUGUGGGUAUUUAUCUACCUUUGUGAGCAACUGAAGAGGGUUAGGGUGUGGGGUGAUGGGUGUGGAGGGGACCUGCAGUCACUGACCUGAGCAUCCAGCUUGGAACCUAGAGCCUCUCUCUCUGAAAUGACCUCCCUCUUGUUGCUUCCCAGUCAUUACAGAGGCCUCAGAAUAAUAUUUUACAUUGAUAGUGUUCUAUUUCACUCAUCUGCUUCUCUUCACAAACUUGUGAAGAUCUAAAUCACUUUUAUAUUAAGAAUUGUCUUCUACGUCUUUUGUAAAGUCCUUUAUUUCCCCAUUGAAGGAAGGUCACUUGUAGUGACUAAAUGUAGUCACCUGUAGUGACUAAAAAGUGACUACAUCAAGACCAGGACUUAGGGCAAGGUCUGUGUCUACUACAAACAUCUGGUAUCCUCUAUAAUACCUAGUGGUACUAUGCACAUGUUAAUUAGCAUGUAAAUAUUUCUUCAGUAGGCAUAUUUUAAAGGAACUAUAAAUGCUCAUUGAAAGGAUGUAGCCAUACAUAACAUUUCACCAACCAUAAUAUUAUCUCUUAUUAAUUCUUUGCCUGGUAUUACAAGCACACUUUGAUACAUAUAUAUUUAUUAUUUUUAGCAUCCUCUUUUAUCCCAUUAUUUUAUUUUAAAUGAUUUAAAAUUCAUUUAAGAUAAAAUAAAUAAAAACAAUAAAUAAAUAAAAAUCAUUUUAUUUUAAAUGAUUUUCUUAUUCACCAUAGCUCUAAAAUACCACAACCAUUCUCAAAAUGAAAUGGAGGUUGAUUAUCACUUAGGUCACUUGGACAGCAUGGAAAGCCCACUGACAAGGGGAUAAUUCAAGCUCAGAAGUCUUCACCUUUAAAGAAAAACAAUUUAGAAAAUAUAGGUUGAAGCAUGUUUUGUGCUUGUUUGGGUUUUCUCCCGUGACCUGAAUCACUGCAGUUGUGUAGACCUGGCCCCAAAGUGGUGGACACGCACUGGAAUAUGAUGAGGAGGGGGCUUCAGGGAGGAGGCAGGAGAAGCAGCCCAGGCCCAGCCCUGCUGGGGAAGGGACAGGCGACAAAAGUGACUUUGUCCUUUGGUGCCUCUUGUCUCCACUUUUCCUCAUGUUUUCCCAUGUGUGUGUAUGUGCAUGGUCUGUGUAUGUGCGUGUCUGUGUAUAUGUGUCUGUGCAGGAAAAGAGGCAGGCAUACUCUUUAGAAUGACUUCAGGUGACUGUGUUUUCUUUUCUGGCAUGGGUGGGAGGGAUGCAUAGAACAAGGGACAUCGUUAUCUCCAGUGUCCUUUAUGUGUCAUUAAUGGACUGCAGGCAUUGGUGUGGCAGAUAUAUUCCAAGGCAAGAGCCUUUUACGGGCCUUGGAAUAGCAAUAACUCAUGUUACACAGUGCUAUAUGCCUCAGUGGAUUCACAUCAUGCCCUGUGUGUGAGGACCUGCAAGGCAGGUAUUAUUUCCCCCCAUUUUACAGAUUAGGAGACCGAGCCUCAGGGAGGUUGUAAUCAGUGAUUGAACCAAACACAGGAUUUUGCUCUCUCAGUUCCUCAUUCAGCUCUCCCUAUACCACACCAUUCUCUUUAACCCCACCCCAAACUCCUUGUGCUGUUUAUGCAAGCGUCUCAUUCAAACAGAAACACAUGGGGAUUUCUGAACCCAUGGACUCUGGUUGCUCUUUAUUGUCUACAUCCAUACCUGCCAUCCAAACUGUAAAACAUGCCUUCUCUAACUCUGCAAAUAACCAUUUCCACCAAGGAAAGGGUGUGUGAUCCAAGCAAGAGGAUAUAGCUGGCUGGCUUCCUUCUGCUCUCAAGCCUCCACAUUCAGCAUCACUCUUACUCCUCAGCAACCUAACUCUCUUCUGGCCAGGGCCCCUGGGCAUUUGACUGACCAUUGGCUACCAGAGUCCUCACUGUGUUGUCAUGUCUUUCUGGCUUUUCCUGGUUUACUGUAACAUUGUACGUUCCCCUUAUUCCAUUUCUUUAGUGUCAGUGGUUCCCAUACAUUAGUAUACUUAAGAAAUUUCUGGGGAUGCUUGUUAAAAUGCAGAUUCUUGGGACUUGAGAUUAUGAAUCAGUGCUCCAAGGGCAGGGUCCAGGCAUUUGCACCUCAUCCCCUCAUUUUGAUGCAGCUGGUCUGGGGAGGACACUUUGAGAAACAAGGAUACCUUAGGCUUCAUUCUCUGCUAGGAGAGCAGAUCUGAAAAAUGUGACAAUCAGAUGUGAGUGAGUGUGAUAAUCGAUUACUGUGUUGCCUUUGAAGAGCAUGUAUGAAAGGCAAUAUGAUGUCCUGGUUAAUAGCAUGGAGGCUGGGUUCGAAUCUCUGCUCAUCAGGGUUAUCUCAUCUAAACUACUAAACCUCUUUGUGCCUAAGUUUCUUAUCUGUAAGAUGCGGUAUGAUAGUACCUAUAUCUUAGGGUUGUUGCUCUGGGCAUCAGUUAAUUUAUGCAAAACGUUUAGGGCACUGCCUGCCACAUCAGGAGCUCUGGCCCAGGUGUCUCAACCGGAAGUGGAGAGGUGUUAGUGAUGUCAGUAACAGUAUUGGGAAGAUGGAAGAGAUAUUUUGGAAAAGGAGAACCUUUUGGCAUUCCUGAAAUCGUUCCAUGUCAGUGACUGCUUAUUUUGUAUUUUGCCAUUAAGCAAGCAAGAAGGAUGAGCUCAUCUCUAGCAAGUCAAUGAGGCUUCUGGAGUUUAUUACCAUGAGGCACACAGUGACCAAAUGUACCCCAGGGAGAUGAUGCCCCAGCUGAUGAGUGCACAGAUGUGUCAGAGAAAGUUGCACCAACAUUCCAUAUAAGCCACUCUCUUUGCUUUGGAUUAAUUCCUUUUCAUCUUAUUCCUCCUUUCCUUUUGUUUGAAGGUAACCAUCGGGUUUCUCCAUCUUUUGCUCUUCUUAGGAGGGAGUAUGAGUUUUCCUGGGGUUUUUAUUACACUUUGAAAAAUUAAGCUAAAUCUUUCUACACUGAUAAAAACAUACCCGUUUCUAGUUUCCAUCCUGUUAUGCAUUGAAUUGUGCCCCCUUCAACAAGCUCUGUUGAAGUUCUAAUCCCCAGACACUCAGAAUGUGACUUUAUUUGGAUAUAGGGUCAUUGCAGAUGUAGUUAGUGAAGAUGAGGUCAUACUGGAGUAGGGUGGAACCCUCAUCAAAUAUGACUGGUGUCCUUAUAUGAAGAUGGUCAUAUGAAAACACUCAGGCAGAAGGCCAUUAAUGAUGGAGGCAGAGUGGAGUUAUGUAGCUGCAAUCCACAGAAUGCCAAACAUUGCCAGCAAACCACCAGAAACUAGGAGAGACAAGGAAGGCCUUCCCUAUAGGCUUCAGAAAAAGCAUAGCCUUGCUGACACCUUGAUUUUGGACCUCUAGCUUCCAGAAUCAUGAAAUUUGUCCCCAAGAAAUUUCUGUAGCUUUAGGCCAUCCAGCUUGUGAUACUUUUUUAGGGAAGCCCUAGAAAAUGCACACACAUUCCCUCACCAAAAUGAACCUCAGGGAUAGGAUUUGGGAUUUCUGGAACAUUUUCAUACCUCUUUAUGCAGCCUGCAGACUUUUUUUUUUUUUUUUUGUGACAGAGUCUCAUUCUUGUUGCCCAGUCUGAAGUGCAAUGGUGCGAUCUUUGCUCACUGCAACCUCUGCCUCCCAGGUUCAAGCGAUUCUCCUGCCUCAGCCUCCCAAGUAGCUGGGAUUACAGGCAUCCGCCACCACACCUGACUAAUUUUUUUUUUUUUUAUUUUUAGUAGAGGCAGGAUUUCACCAUGUUGGCGAGGCUGGUCUCGAACUCCUGACCUCAGGUGAUCCACCCGCCUCAGGCUCCCAAAUUGCUGGGAUUACAGGCAUGAGCCACCACGCCUGGCCUGCAUAUUCUUUUUUAUGGGGUUCCCACAUCGGAAUCUAAAACCGCACUGCAGACCAGCUGGCUGUGAGCCGUCUGAGGGAACCCGGAGCCAUCUCUCGCGUCCACAUGGCCUCACGUGUUCAUUAUCACAAAAAACAUCUAGUGGCAGCUGGCUCAGUACAAAGCAGGCUGUACAUAUCUUGAUUCUUUUUUGUCCUCUGGUGUCAAUUUGGUAGCACAUGUUGAUGUUGAGUGUUACCAAACAAGUGACACUGAACAGUGAACAGUAUAAAAAUAGGCCACAGAAGGGCCAGCGAUAGCAUGGAUACUGGGUGAUUAGUUAGCGAACUUGAACAGAGAGGAGGGAUAACUCGGGGCACUCAUGUUUGCCAUCUUUGAGGAGAAAUAACUACAACCCCUCCAAGUGUUGAAAGUUCCGUCCCAGAUAGAAAAAUCCUACCUUGUUUAAUGUAUGAAAAUCUUAUUUUAUCCAAACAUGCAAUUACAGGGAUUCAUCCAGAGGCCUGGAUUCUUCGCUAAAUUCUGUGUUUACACUUGGGAGUUUGUUAUUCUUCAACCUUCUGGGCAUGUCAUGGGACAAAUCUGAAUGAUUGCCACACUAAAGAAAAUAAAAGCUCUUUCUUUUCUAUCAAAGACACAAGAAACGGAAAUGUCUUCAUCAUUUUCAGUCUACCCAUUGGUCUGCAUGCACAUUUGUUUGAACUACAGCUUUUUAAACAUCAUUAGCGUCUUUUCAGUUUCUACAAUACACUUCCUCACGGUAGAGGUUGUUUCCUACUAUUCAGCUAAGUUAAACUAGGGUUACUAAUAGCUUUCGUCUUACCUCAUUGCUGGAAUAUUUUUUCCUCCAGUGCUUCUAGUCUGUUUACUAAACACACAGAAAAUGAAUGAAAUAAAUCUCUGCAGGUUUGAACAUUGCUUGGCAAGUGAGGAAAAAGAUACACACUAGGGUUCUUGCAAAAUCUAGGCAAGGAUAAUUACAGCCCAUUAUACAGAAUUGUUUGAUACACUGUAUAAUGUGGCUGUCAAGACGCAGUCCCCAACCUCUACAACAGGGUUUUUCUACCUGGACACCAUUAACAUUUUAGGUCUAAUGAUUCUUCAUUACUGGAGUGUGGGUGGGGGUACUGUCCUGUGCACUGUAGGAUGAUUAUAAGCAUCCCCGCUUCUCUACCCAAGUUGAGCCAGAAGCAUCCCCCAAAUCGUGACAACUAAAACUAUCUCCAGACAAUGCCAAAUAUCCCCUGGAAGGGAAGAAAAACUUUCCCUUGACUGAGAACUAC
rnacentral:lncRNA from 1 species